AGAGAGGAGCAUGUAGCAUUCACAUAAGACAAGACCAAGAGUUUAGAUUAGAAAACUUACCUUCGCAGCUUCAAAGUAACUCUUUCUUUUGGUUCUAGUCCCUGCUUUCUUCGAUUGAUCCUUCUUUUUUAUUAUCCCACGUUCUUGCAUGUGCAAGGAGGUUGAAUGGGAGGUUCACAGUUGACGACCAAGAUGAAGGCAAAUGACUCCCUUUCUCUCGGGCCGUGAGUUCCUUUACUUUUUCGUUGUGAUGGUUGAUGAUGGGGUGAGUCUCUAACGUCCUCAGAUGGUAAGGCGAUGGAUAAGAAAAAUGUUUUUCAGUGUUCUCUAUCAGUGCCUAUUUUCUGUUGUUGUUCCUCCUCUUGUGUUGGUCUGAUAUUGAUAUUAACUCCUCUGAUCUCGUGCUCUUCUUCUGUUGGUAAAGGUCCUUUUUUACAUUUCAGAAUAUCUCUCAGGAUCUCACAUUUGUCUUUUUUCUCUUUUCAUGCUUUCAUCGUAUCAGUUGAACAAAAGCCUUCAAAAUCUUCACUCUUUCCAUGAAUGCAGAUCAACGUUAGACAAAUUAGGAAUAAGGACCAGGUCCCUUCACGCUGCUACUGCAUGUAUCCAUUUCAAGCAUUCUCUGUGUCUGGAAAGCAACUUUGCAGAGAAGCAUAGUUGACCUUGAUUUUGCUUUUUGUUCUUUUCUUCUUCUCAUGUAUUACUUUGAUUGAUCAGCGAAAUAGUUCAAAUAUCCUUUCCCCUUUAGUAUCUGAUUACAAUUUUAGUAUCUGAUUACAGCUAUGGUGUAGGGAUUUUUUGUUUGAGGAACAAAGACCUUCUCUCACACUACAAUUUAAGCAUUUGUCGCAACCAGAAAUCGCGACGGGACGACGACGAUCCAAAAAAGAAAAUAUUUAUAAAAAAGAGUUUGGAGUCGCCACCAUAGUUUAUUCUGGAAAACUACGGAAAAACCAUAAAGAAAGGCACGGUCCACGAAAACCAAAGAUUGGGUUCGGGAGUCGAUUACGUAUGGGGAAGGUGUUAGCACCCCCACAACGCCUGCCCUAAGGCAAUACCUUUAACUAAAUACGCGAAUUUGAUGUAGUUUGCAAAAUGUUUAAUUUCCCCUAAAAAAAUAAAACUAUAAAGAAAACAAAAUAUUUUUUGUGUUUUUUGUGCCCGACAAGGAUUGACCUUGCUCUUACGUAUUCUCAGUUGGACUGAGAAAUCAGGGUUACGUAGUUCUUUGAAUCAUUUGGGUGAUUGUUUCGAAAACAUGAUGUUUUAUAUUUUUUUUUUGCUGAUUUUUUUGGAAGAAGAAGAAAAAGGUUUUCGGCACAAGGCUGACGCGGAUGGUCGCACGUGUGCUUAAACCUUUUUAAAAUAUUUUGUUAUUUUGAAAGAAGGAGGAAAAGGGUUUUAACACAAGGCUGACGCGAAUGGUCGCACGUAUGCUUAAACCUUUUAAAAUAUUUUUGUUGUUUUUGAAAGGGGGAGGAAAAGAGUUUUAACACAAGGCUGACGCGAAUGGUCGCACGUGUGCUUAAACCUUUUAAGAUAUUUUGUUAUUUUUUGAAAGAAUGAGGAAAAUGUUUUAACACAAGGCUGACGCGAAUGGUCGCACGUGUGCUUAAACCUUUUGAAAUAUUUUUGUUAUAUUUUUUUUAAAAGAAAGAGGAAAAGGUUUUAACACAAGGCUGACGCGAAUGGUCGCACGUGUGCCUAANUAAACCUUUUGAAAUAUUUUUGUUAUAUUUUUUUAAAGUAGAUGAAACGAGAUAAAUAAAUAAACAAAUAAGUAAAAAAAGUAGAAAUAAAAAGAAAUAACUAAAUAAAAUGAAAGUGAGAAAUAAAAAUAAAAAAAUAAAGUAAAAAUAAUGAUAAAAUAAACUAAAGGGAACAAAAUGACAAGUAAAACAAAAUAAACAAAAUAAACAAAUUGGGCCAAAGCCCAAAUGGAAAAGGGUGGUAAAAAUAAAAAGAGGGGUGUCCAAACCAAUUUAAUUCUCAUAAUAGGUUGGGCCAAAGCCCAAGUGGAAAAGAGGGGUGUGAAUAUGAGAUAGGGGUCUGCAAAUGAAUUUUAAAUACUUAUAACAGAUUGGGCCAAAGCCCAGGUAGGAAAGAGGGCUCGACUUAGCAGAGACCGGGGUGCAGAAAGGGUUUUUAUUUAAUGUUUUUUUUUUGGGUUUUUUGGUUUGGCCAAACCUGGGCCCGAUUUAGGGGUGUGUUGAUAGAAAAUGAGGGUGCGGAAGAAGGUGUUUUUUUUCUUUUCAUAAAACCGAAUGGGCUUGAGCCCAAAGACAAAGGGGGGGUUGCAUGGCCAGAAUCUCUUGGGUCCAGGCCCAAAUUUUAAUCAGAACCCAAUUAGGGUUUUCUUGCAACUCCAUCUCUCAUUCGCAGAAGCCAAACCAAAGAGGCAACAGCUUCCUCUCAUGCGCCCACCUACGCCUGCCACCGGACCAGCCGCCACCGUGCCGUCCGACCAGUCUUGGCUUCGCCGACGAUAACACAUCCUUCGAGAGAGAGCGGCGAUCUCAUAUCCUCCACCACCACGCGCACGCCGUCGUCAGCCUGGACCAGCCACCGCGACAAAGCCCCUACUCCGUCCGAGACGACGCCGGCGACCAAACCAUCGGAACCGCCGCCAGCCUAGACGCGAAUCCCUCUUUUCCUUUCCCCGCGUGAGAACAGGGAAGCGUCGUGCUUUUUUCCUUCAACCGACCACCACCGCGAGCCGCCACCGUCAUCGAAACAACGACCCUUCGCCGGACAGACACUGAGAAACCACCGCGCCUCCGAAAGUCGACACGAGCUCCAGCCGCCGCAGCCACAACAAUCACCACGCGAAUCCCCUCUGUUCUCAGUUACUAUCACACACUCAUUCUACGUUGAAGCUGGAAUCUCACAUUUAUGAGAUUUUUUUCAUGUUUUUUAAUUUUAAGCCGUGGUUUUCUUCCUUCUUGAUUCGUUUCCUGGAUUUGUUCCAGCGUUGACAGGGAAAGGAGGAAACAGAAAAGCUUAGGUAGAUUUGAUUUGUUGGUUCCGUUUGGUACCGGGGAAAGAUGGUUUUCGAUUGCUUUUUGUUAUGUGUUUUCUGGGUAAUGGACAUUGAAGUCAUGCUAGGGGACAUAUAUACCCAACUCCUAUUGCCAUUUAUUCAAUGCUGCAGGCAUACUGGAUGUAUUUUGAUUGACAAGUGAAGUCACAAAAGAGGCAAACAUCUGUAUACUGAUCAAACAUCCUUCAUGUAUAUCCAACCAAUAUCAUUCAUUCAUACCAACAUGUCAUUCAUAUCAUAUAACAGAGGAGCAUGUAGCAUUCACAUAAGACAAGACCAAGAGUUUAGAUUAGAAAACUUACCUUCGCAGCUUCAAAGUAACUCUUUCUUUUGGUUCUAAUCCCCUGCUUUCUUCGAUUGAUCCUUUUUUUUAUUAUCCCACGUUCUUGCAGGUGCGAGGAGGCUGGAUGAGAGGUUCACAGUUGACGACCAAGAUGAAGGCAAAUGACUCCCUUUCUCUCUNGCCGUGAGUUCCUUUACUCUUUCGUUGUGAUGGUUGAUGAUAGGUGAGUCCACGGUGGUGAGUCUCCAAAUGCUCUCUGUGACGAUAAUGGGUUGUAAAUGAAACCUAGUACUCCAUACUCUCUCCUUGUGCCUCUCAUCUCUUGUGAGAAUCCAUAAUGCCCCCCUUGUGAUGGUCUCUUGCUUGCUGUUUUUUGUUGUUGUAUCCCUCCCUCUCUAUUGUAUAUAGGGUAUCCUAUCCUCUGGCGCAGGAUUUUCUUUGUUUCUUCUCUUUUUCAUGUUUCCACUUUUCAGUUCGCCAAGCAGUUCAAAAUUUAUUUCCCUUUUGAUGUUAGAUUAUGGUUCUGUGUAAAGAUUUUUUAGCUUGUACACAGUGAGCAGAGAGGGACAGUGUUGCAUGGAAAACCUUACAGGAUAGAAAGCUCAUUUUGUGUUUGUGUAAUCUGAGGAUGGGAAGCAGCAAAGCCUGCUAUUCCUAAAAAACCAACUUAAGUUGACUAUUAC
rnacentral:lncRNA from 1 species